GAUGAACGCUGGCGGCGUGCCUAAUACAUGCAAGUCGAGCGAACAGACGAGGAGCUUGCUCCUCUGACGUUAGCGGCGGACGGGUGAGUAACACGUGGAUACCCUACCUAUAAGACUGGGAUAACUUGGGAAAACGGGAUCUAAUACCGGAUAAUAUAUUGAACCGCAUGGUUCAAUAGUGAAAGUCGGUUUUUCUGUAACUUAUAGAGGGAUCCGCGCCGCAUUAGCUAGUUGGUAAGUUAACGGCUUACCAAGGCGACGAUGCGUAGCCGACCUGAGAGGGUGAUCGGCCACACUGGAACUGAGCCACGGUCCAGACUCCUACGGGAGGCAGCAGUAGGGAAUCUUCCGCAAUGGGCGAAAGCCUGACGGAGCAACGCCGCGUGAGUGAUGAAGGUCUUCGGAUCGUAAAACUCUGUUAUUAGGGAAGAACAAAUGUGUAAGUAACUAUGCACGUCUUGACGGUACCUAAUCAGAAAGCCACGGCUAACUACGUG
rnacentral:rRNA from 1 species